GAGUGAGGGAGGGUGUGACUAGUGACAGAAUGAGGGAGGGGGUGACUAGUGACAGAGUGAGGGAGGGGGUGAUUAGUGACAGAGUGAGGGAUGGGGUGACUAGUGACAGUCACCACCUCCUUCACUCUGUCACUGUGUCACCCCUUUCCUCACUCUGUCACUAGUCACCCACUCCCUUCCUCACUCUGUCACUAGUCACCCCCUCUCUCUCUGUCACCAGUCAUCCCUUCCUUCCCUCACUC